GCUCCUUUCGUGUAGUUGGUUAUCACGUGGGAUUUUGAUUAAUUGUCCUUUUCUAAGUCUUCCCAAAACGCAAGUUCGAAUCUUGCAAGGAGCU
rnacentral:tRNA from 1 species